rnacentral:rRNA from 1 species
GACGAACGCUGGCGGCGUGCUUAACACAUGCAAGUCGAACGGAAAGGCCCUGCUUUUGUGGGGUGCUCGAGUGGCGAACGGGUGAGUAACACGUGAGUAACCUGCCCUUGACUUUGGGAUAACUUCAGGAAACUGGGGCUAAUACCGGAUAGGAGCUCCUGCUGCAUGGUGGGGGUUGGAAAGUUUCGGCGGUUGGGGAUGGACUCGCGGCUUAUCAGCUUGUUGGUGGGGUAGUGGCUCACCAAGGCUUUGACGGGUAGCCGGCCUGAGAGGGUGACCGGCCACAUGGGGACUGAGAUACGGCCCAGACGCCUACGGGAGGCAGCAGUGGGGAAUAUUGCACAAUGGGCGGAAGCCGGAUGCAGCAACGCCGCGUGCGGGAUGACGGCCUUCGGGUUGUAAACCGCUUUCGCCUGUGACGAAGCGUGAGUGACGGUAAUGGGUAAAGAAGCACCGGCUAACUACGU